UCGGGGCAGGGUGAGUCGACCCCUAAGGCGAGGCCGAAAGGCGUAGUCGAUGGGAAACAGGUUAAUAUUCCUGUACUUGGUGUUACUGCGAAGGGGGGACGGAGAAGGCUAUGUUAGCCGGGCGACGGUUGUCCCGGUUUAAGCAUGUAGGCUGAUUGUCCAGGCAAAUCCGGAUAAUCAAGGCUGAGGUGUGAUGACGAGGCACUACGGUGCUGAAGUAACAAAUGCCCUGCUUCCAGGAAAAGCCUCUAAGCAUCAGGUAACAUUAAAUCGUACCCCAAACCGACACAGGUGGUCAGGUAGAGAAUACCAAGGCGCUUGAGAGAACUCGGGUGAAGGAACUAGGCAAAAUGGUGCCGUAACUUCGGGAGAAGGCACGCUGGUGUGUAGGUGAAGUCCCUGCGGAUGGAGCUGAGACCAG
rnacentral:rRNA from 1 species